rfam:Corynebacterium glucuronolyticum ATCC 51866 genomic scaffold SCAFFOLD7, whole genome shotgun sequence.
UGAGUCGACCAUGGCGAUCGCGUCGGCGUGAACGAGGGGACUGGUUCCCCAGCGCGCGCUGCCGAGGAAAGUCUGGACUCUAUAGAGCACGGUGGUUGUUAACGGCAACCCGGGGCGACCCGAGGGAUAGUGCCACAGAAACGAGACCGCCAGCACCGUUUCGGUGUUGGUAAGGGUGAAAGGGUGCGGUAAGAGCGCACCAGCGCGGUAGGUGACUGCCACGGCUUGGUAAACCCCACCGAGAGCAAGGCAAAAGGUCAUAUCCUUUAGCGGUGUGGCUGCGCAGGCGCCUGAGGGCUGCUCGUCCGAGUCUGCGGGUAGCUGCUAUGUAGAAGGCCGUCAGCAAUGGCGGUAGCGAGAUGGAUGGUCGCCACACGACAGAAUCCGGCUUACGGUUGGCUCACUCG